CCUACGGGCGGCAGCAGUGGGGAAUAUUGCACAAUGGGCGCAAGCCUGAUGCAGCCAUGCCGCGUGUAUGAAGAAGGCCUUCGGGUUGUAAAGUACUUUCAGUUGUGAGGAAGGUUGUGUGGUUAAUACCCAUAUAAUUUGACGUUAGCAACAGAAGAAGCACCGGCUAACUCCGUGCCAGCAGCCGCGGUAAUACGGAGGGUCCGAGCGUUAAUCGGAAUUACUGGGCGUAAAGCGCAUGCAGGUGGUUUGUUAAGUCAGAUGUGAAAGCCCGGGGCUCAACCUCGGAAUAGCAUUUGAAACUGGCAGACUAGAGUACUGUAGAGGGGGGUAGAAUUUCAGGUGUAGCGGUGAAAUGCGUAGAGAUCUGAAGGAAUACCGGUGGCGAAGGCGGCCCCCUGGACAGAUACUGACACUCAGAUGCGAAAGCGUGGGGAGCAAACAGGAUUAGAUACCCUGGUAGUC
rnacentral:rRNA from 1 species